rnacentral:pre_miRNA from 1 species
CUUAUACUCCCUCCGUCCGGAAAUACUUGUCAUCAAGAUGAAUAAAAGGGGAUGUAUCUAGAUGUAUUUUAGUUCUAGAUACACCACUUUUUAUCCAUUCUGAUGACAAAUAUUUCCGGACGGAGGGAGUAUUUA